UACGUAGGGGGCUAGCGUUGUCCGGAUUUAUUGGGCGUAAAGAGCGUGUAGGCGGCCAGGUAGGUCUGCUGUGAAACCUCGAGGCUCAACCUCGAGACGUCGGCGGAAACCAUCUGGCUAGAGUCCGGAAGAGGAGAGUGGAAUUCCUGGUGUAGCGGUGAAAUGCGCAGAUAUCAGGAAGAACACCCGUGGCGAAGGCGGCUCUCUGGGACGGUACUGACGCUGAGACGCGAAAGCGUGGGGAGCGAACAGG
rnacentral:rRNA from 1 species